GCCCGGCUGCGGAGCCCGGAGAGCAGGCGGUGUGACUGGGGCUCACAUUCAGAGAGCGAUCAAGGAGCGGAGACCUUCCACGGUGCGCUCCUCCAUGGUGUAGCUCAUAUAUGGCCGUCCUUCUUUGUUGACAAGUCUUAAAUAUCUGUGUCUUUGGAGUGACAAGUGGAAGUCGACGCUUACAACAAGAACAUUUGACUGUUUUCUGAGUUUUGGCUGAACUACAGACUUCGGACUCUUGGAUUAUUCUGAAUUAUUCUGGUGGACUAGUAGUUAAAGGCGUCGCUGUAUAAAUACAGCUUAUCCCCAAAGUUUGGACCGGUGUUACGACACUCUUCUCCCUGUUUUUCUAAGGUAUGCCUGUGGCUGUCGGUGUGUCUCCGGACACGUAAUCGGGCGCGUUCCUGCUGUCAUGGCCUCCACAACCACGCGGCUCCUUCUCGUCACAGUGAUCUCUGUUCUGGCGGAGUUCGUCAUCUCAUCAGAGGAUCAUAAGUGGCACUUUGAUCCAACUCAGUGUCGCUACGCCCUGGGGAUGGAGGAUGGCACCAUCCCAGACUCUGACAUCACCGCCUCCAGCGCCUGGUCCGACUCCACAGAGGCCAAACAUGGAAGGUGGGAAAAUGUUUUAGUUUGUACGU